UGUCCUCCAUCCCCACCCUCUCCAAGUCCCUGUCCCCAAAGCUUCCCAAAGCUGUCACCUGUAGGCUUCGCUUGUCCAUCUCUUGCUCCUCCUCUUUGCCUCAGCAGCAGCAGCAGCAUGGAGAAGAGUCCGUGUCUUCUUCUCUCAAGACGUUCUCCGCAGCCCUGGCGCUCUCCUCCCUCCUCCUAACCUCUGCCGCUGCGCCUCCCCCAGCCGCGGCCGACAUCUCCGGCCUCACCCCCUGCAAGGAGUCCAAGGCCUUCGCGAAGCGCGAGAAGCAGUCGAUCAAGAAGCUGGAGGCGUCGCUCAAUAAGUACGCGCCGGACUCGGCGCCGGCGCUCGCCAUCAAGGCCACCAUCGAGAAGACCAAGCGGCGGUUCGAGAACUACGGCAAGUUCGGUCUCCUCUGCGGCUCCGACGGGCUGCCCCACCUCAUCGUCAACGGCGAUCAGCGUCACUGGGGCGAGUUCAUCACCCCCGGCCUGCUCUUCCUCUACAUCGCCGGCUGGAUCGGGUGGGUAGGCCGCAGCUACCUCAUCGCCAUCCGCGACGACAAGAAGCCCACCAUGAAGGAGAUCAUCAUCGACGUGCCGCUCGCCACCAGGCUGCUGUGGAGGGGCUUCAUCUGGCCGGUGGCUGCCUACCGGGAACUCGUCAACGGCGAGCUAAUUGCCAAGGACGUGUGAUCCCUGGGCGCCACCGCCACCGAAUCAAAGAUGCC
rnacentral:lncRNA from 1 species